UUCUAAAUAAGAUCAUAUCUUCUAACAAUCUAAACAGACCAAACCCUAGUAUAUAUUACUAACUAAAUCUCUAAAACUCUCAUUUCUCCCACAUAAAUUCACUACCAAACACCCUCUACAUUACUCCCUCUCUCGAUCUCUCUAUUACAUACAAACACAGAGAAAUAAAAAACAAGCAAGACCCAACCCAACCACACCCCCCUGCUCGCCUGCUCUCUCUCUCACGAACAGUCUGGUCACCGGAAUUCAUCACCGGCGACGAAUAGGCGGAGAUGGUGACGGCGCCGCCACCUAUGGCGGUGGUGGUGCCGAUUUCCGGCAACAGCGACGGCGCAGCAAACCCCCCUUUUUUUGAAUAUUGAAACGGAUCACCACCACCACCACCACAGUCCGGUGGUGGUGCGGCGGCGUUACACGAGAGAGGGAGAGGUGAUGAGAGAGAGAGGAUGACAGAGUAGGAGCGGCGCCGCUGCAGGCGGCGGCGGUAGCAGCGGCAGUGGAGGUGACGACGGAGGAUUUUGCUUCUUUUCGACAAGUUUUCCGAAGAGGAUUGAUGGUGUCAGUGGUGGGGGUAUGUACCGGAGCUACGCCGGCAACAACAAGCGACGAUGGCGGCAGUGGUUAUGUUUUGGGCUACAGAUUGUUUCGGGUUUCGGUUCAGGUCUUGUCACGUUUUGGUUUCGAGUCUUGGUCAUAGGCAGUCAACAAGUCAUUGGCUCAUAUCUCUCGGGUGUGCUCGGUUUGGAUGUUUUGGGUUUCGAUCAACGGUUCGGGUCGCGUGGUUCGGUCAGGCGGCUCGUUUCUGUUGACUCGGUCGAACCGAAUCAACUCAGUCAACGCAACGAGUCAACUCAGCGGGUCAACCCGGUUGACUCGGUCAACUCAACCGGUCAACCCGUUCGACUUUUCGACACUAAAGAUGGUAAAUGUUUAAGUCGCGACUAAUAACGUUGUUUUAUUUUAUGUAGUUUUGUUAAAUACGCGAUAUCGAGCUCCAACCGAACAGACUAGUAUUUACUUUAUAUUUUGUUGUUUU